AUUGAACGCUGGCGGCAGGCCUAACACAUGCAAGUCGAACGGUAGCACAGAGAGCUUACUCUCGGGUGACGAGUGGCGGACGGGUGAGUAAUGUCUGGGAAACUGCCCGAUGGAGGGGGAUAACUACUGGAAACGGUAGCUAAUACCGCAUAACGUCGCAAGACCAAAGUGGGGGACCUUCGGGCCUCACACCAUCGGAUGUGCCCAGAUGGGAUUAGCUAGUAGGUGGGGUAAUGGCUCACCUAGGCGACGAUCCCUAGCUGGUCUGAGAGGAUGACCAGCCACACUGGAACUGGAACACGGUCCAGACUCCUACGGGAGGCAGCAGUGGGGAAUAUUGCACAAUGGGCGCAAGCCUGAUGCAGCCAUGCCGCGUGUAUGAAGAAGGCCUUCGGGUUGUAAAGUACUUUCAGCGGGGGAGGAAGGCGGUGAAGUUAAUAGCUUCACCGAUUGACGUUACCCGCAGAAGAAGCACCGGCUAACUCCGUGCCAGCCGCCGCCGUAA
rnacentral:rRNA from 1 species